UUAAACUGAAGAGUUUGAUCCUGGCUCAGAUUGAACGCUGGCGGCAUGCUUAAGACAUGCAAGUCGAACGGUAACAGGCGGAAGCUUGCUUCUGCGCUGACGAGUGGCGGACGGGUGAGUAAUGCAUAGGAAUCUGCCCAGUAGUGGGGGACAACACGGAGAAAUUCGUGCUAAUACCGCAUACGCCCUACGGGGGAAAGCGGGGGACCUUCGGGCCUCGCGCUAUUGGAUGAGCCUAUGUCAGAUUAGCUUGUUGGUGGGGUAACGGCCUACCAAGGCAACGAUCUGUAGCUGGUCUGAGAGGAUGAUCAGCCACACUGGAACUGAGACACGGUCCAGACUCCUACGGGAGGCAGCAGUCGGGAAUAUUGCACAAUGGGCGCAAGCCUGAUGCAGC
rnacentral:rRNA from 1 species